CGACCAAUGAAGUCCAGAGGAGCAGAGAAAGUGCUGGCAGACACAGAGGAUGGAGCAACUCACUUAUUUUAGAAGAACCAAAGAAGGCUUCACAGAGGUGAAUAAUCUCUUUAACUGAUUAACUGAAGUUAAUUCUCACUGGCCAGCAAAAAGUUCGGUGAAAUUAGCCUCGGGAGAAACUAAGAUGGCAAAGGCUAUUUUGUGGGAGGUAAGAGAAGAGGGAGAAACAGAGACAAGAGACAGUAGGGGGGAAUGGCUAAGAAUGGUCCGUCUGGGCAUUGUUGGUGAAACGGCUUAGUGGUUGUGGAGUCACUAGAGCCACACGUUGUAUGUGAAGUCAUCAAAGCGGACAUCAGGGAGCCCUGGAGUUGGUCCCUCAUCCCCAGGAAAGGAGGACACCGGCUUUCCACCAGCCUCAGCAGGUCCACCCUCAGACAAGGCUCCCCAUAGGCUCCUCCUCAGGCUGUCCUGCUGUGAACAUUGACCCCACAAUCUGCACAACCUGUGUAGAAUCACUUCCAAGUUGACCAAGACUUGCUAAAUUAUCUCAUGAAGGACAACAAAGGCACAACUUAAAAAUGGAAGAAGGUGAAUAUAAAGUAAACCCAAAACUCCUACUUUUUUGUCCCUUCUCACACUGCUAUAAAGAACAACCUGAGACUGGGUAAUUUAGAAAGAAAAGAGGUUUAAUUGGCUCACAGGUCCACAGGCUGUACAGGAGGCGUGGCUGGGGAGGCCUUAGGAAACUUACAAUCCUGGUGACAGGCAAAGGAGAAGCAGGCACGUCUUCACAUGGCAGCAGGAGGGAGCGAGAGAAGGGGGGAGUGCUACAUGCUUUUAAAAUACCAGAUCUCAUGAGAACUCACUGUCACAAGAACAGCAAGGGGGAUAUCUCCCACCAUGAUCCUAUCACCUCCCACCAGGCCCCUCCCCCAACAGUGGGAAUUACAAUUUCACAUGAUUUGGGUGGAGACAGAGAGCCAAACCAUGUCACCUACCUAUCAUUAAAAAGUAAUGUCCCAACCCAAACAAGCUUGGAGUCAAGGGCCAGCUCCUACCAAACUUCAAAUAUUGGUGUUUAAUAAUACGUGUCAUUUAGGAACAAUGACAAAAGAUGAACACAUGCAUCUUAAAAGCUGACUAGCAAAAGGCCAAAGAAGGAAAUGGGGAAGAAAAAGGAUAUAUUUUCCUUUUAUCAGAAACCUAGAUUAGGCCUAAACUCAACUGGACCGACUAUGAUCACCUCCUCACCUGCACAGGUGAAGCCACCAACCAUCCUAGGUUGUCUGGGACUCUUCUAGUUUUAGCAGUAAAAUUCCCACAUCCUGGGCAACUUGGGACAGAUGGUCACUGUGGGUCCAGGUCAUGGACUAUGAGAAUAUGAGAAUAUGAGUUUGGGUUUGGAAGACUUCCAGCUGACUCCUGGACUGCCACUUACUAGAUGUGGGCCACUUAAUUUCUCUGAGUUUCAUUCAGUUCCUGCACUCUAAAAACGAGGUUUGAAAGGCUGUCUUCAUAGGAUUGUUUGCAAGGAUUAAACCGUAAGGGAACAUAAAACACAGAAUCGGUGGUACACAGCAAGCUCUCAAUCCAUGUGAGAUGGGAAACAUUUAUCUGCAACCGUAGCCAGCAUAGUUGGGGCAGGAUUACCCAGAGACGAUGGCGAGCAUCAGGUGAAGCAGAUGGAGAUGUGGGCAGUUGUUGCUUCCUUACAGAGCUGGUCCCUGUCAUUUGCACAUUUGUCCCCAGCCCUGGGUCCUGGCAAGAAGCCUGGACAAGGAAGCUCUCUAUGGGUGCUCGAGAGCCACUGGCAGACGCAUGUGCAGUCAGGCAAGAAAGCCACACGCCCAGGCCGCAGCGGCCCUGCCAGUAAGCACUGAGCACCCAGGCAGAUGGGAGAACCAAGCUGCAAGCCUUUCCUAGUCUCCCUAUGAUGAAUGAAUGACUGUCCUCGUGGGACCACUUCGCAGCAGAGCUAGCAAGAGCCGCGGCACGGAUCCUGCCUACACACCUGUGCUCCCGAGCCCUGCAGAGCUUUGGGUCUUCUCACUAGCGGAGUGAGGAUGAGGGUGUGCUGACCACAGCAAGGUUGUGUGCGUGCCUCCAUGGAGGUGCGCAGAGCAGAAACGCUGCCCCUCGCACUGCCAUGGUGGUAAGGAGAGGAAAUAAAACC
rnacentral:lncRNA from 1 species